UACGGGAGGCAGCAGUGAGGAAUAUUGGUCAAUGGGCGAGAGCCUGAACCAGCCAAGUAGCGUGAAGGAUGACUGCCCUAUGGGUUGUAAACUUCUUUUAUAAAGGAAUAAAGUCGGGUAUGCAUACCCGUUUGCAUGUACUUUAUGAAUAAGGAUCGGCUAACUCCGUGCCAGCAGCCGCGGUAAUACGGAGGAUCCGAGCGUUAUCCGGAUUUAUUGGGUUUAAAGGGAGCGUAGAUGGAUGUUUAAGUCAGUUGUGAAAGUUUGCGGCUCAACCGUAAAAUUGCAGUUGAUACUGGAUAUCUUGAGUGCAGUUGAGGCAGGCGGAAUUCGUGGUGUAGCGGUGAAAUGCUUAGAUAUCACGAAGAACUCCGAUUGCGAAGGCAGCCUGCUAAGCUGCAACUGACAUUGAGGCUCGAAAGUGUGGGUAUCAAACAGGAUUAGAUACCCUGGUAGUCCACACGGUAAACGAUGAAUACUCGCUGUUUGCGAUAUACAGCAAGCGGCCAAGCGAAAGCGUUAAGUAUUCCACCUGGGG
rnacentral:rRNA from 1 species